GAAAUGCGAUAAGUAAUGUGAAUUGCAGAAUUCAGUGAAUCAUCGAAUCUUUGAACGCACAUUGCGCCCGCCAGUAUUCUGGCGGGCAUGCCUGUUCGAGCGUCAUUUCAACCAUCAAGCCCCGCGCUUGUGUUGGGGACCUGCGGCUGCCGCAGGCCCUGAAAACCAGUGGCGGGCUCGCUGUCACACCGGGCGUAGUAGAUUUUAUCUCGCUCAGGGCGUGCUGCGGGUUCCGGCCGUUAAAAAGCCUUUUUACCCAAGGUUGACCUCGGAUCAGGUAGGAAGACCCGCUGAACUUAAGC
rnacentral:misc_RNA from 1 species